GGUGGAGCCAAGACACCGAGGCUCUCCUCCCGUCCCAUUUCUGAGCUUGGGGGUCAAGCUGUCUUUCUGCAGGGAGUCCAGGGUCCAGAGGGACUGACUAGGAGAGAAUGUGAGCAGAAGACGUUCGGGUGAGUCAACUCGACGUUGAGGGCCUGAGGAGGGCACGUGGCUCAGAGAGACCCUGCAGGGAGGACAAACAGACUGAAGACAGACAGCAGGAUUGGGGCCUUGAAUCUUACUCUUCAGCUGGGGCCUGGGGGUGUACCAGACCACCACCUCAUCCACUGAGGACAGGGGCCAGAAUCCAGAGAAGAUGAGGAGGGAGUGGCAUCUAGGCUUUCCAAAGAGAAAAUUUCUUUUUGUCUUUAAGUUUAGCAAGGACAGAGCAAGAAAGACUGAUAUGACUCCAAGAAGUAUUGUGGUUAGAUCGCAGGAAGAACUAACGGCAAGGACUGAUGGAGAUCCCUGCUCUCUCUGCAGCAUUCCAGACCUGUCUUAGAUCCAGACUCACUCCUAUAGUCCAGGGAGAGGGGUGCCUUCCCUCCCUCCCCUCUCGCCCAACCCAGCCGAACUACCGUCUCUCUGUUGAGUGCAGGAAUUGAAGGCAGCAGGCCUGCCCUUACGCUCCCAGUGGCUGGGGUCCUUAACUAACGUCCAUCUCUCCCCCAGAGUCCUCUCCCAGUCACCAGGUCCUGGCACUCUCCCCUGCCCCAGAUGUCUAGCCCAGUUGGCCCAGAGGGCACACAGAAGGUGGGCUGGAAAAGUGGGAAAGGCAGUCUGGAUUGACUUAGUUUUCCCCACCUUUGACCAACACACCCAAUUGGGCUGCAGCCGAUCUAUGGUCGGGGGAGGUAGGUGGGAACCUAGAUUUUUGGAAAUGUGGGAUUGGGGUUUCACACGAAACCAUUUGUUGAAAUCCAAGAAAGUGAUAAUUAUCCCUAGCGAUUUUAGAACUC
rnacentral:lncRNA from 1 species